rnacentral:rRNA from 1 species
CCUACGGGAGGCAGCAGUGGGGGAUAUUGCACAAUGGGGGGAACCCUGAUGCAGCGACGCCGCGUGGGUGAAGAAGCGCCUCGGCGCGUAAAGCCCUGUCAGCAGGGAAGAAAAUGACGGUACCUGACGAAGAAGCCCCGGCUAACUACGUGCCAGCAGCCGCGGUAAUACGUAGGGGGUAAGCGUUAUCCGGAUUUACUGGGUGUAAAGGGGGCGCAGACGGCGAUGCAAGCCAGGAGUGAAAGCCCGGGGCCCAACCCCGGGACUGCUCUUGGAACUGCGUGGCUGGAGUGCAGGAGGGGCAGGCGGAAUGCCUGGUGUAGCGGUGAAAUGCGUAGAUAUGAGGCGGAACACCGGUGGCGAAGGCGGCCUGCUGGACUGCAACUGACGUUGAGGCACGAAAGCGUGGGGAGCAAACAGGAUUAGAUACCCCUGUAGUC